ACUUUUCAUUGGGCGGGAACACUGAAUGGCGGGGCUAAACCAGCCCUUCCACCGGUUGCCCAUCCCGGCGGAGGGGUCGGCCGGAUGGUGGAGGAGGGGAUGGACGGGUUCAAUGAUAAAUAUUUUCCAGGGGUGGGAUUCGAGGCUCGAACCCGGUCCUCCGGAAUGGAGAGCCGAAACGUUUGCAGGCGGCGAGAGCCGGGCGGGUUAUAAAAACUGCUUAUAUUUAACAGUUAUUCUACACUUUUUAGCAAAUGUUUAAUUAAAAUUUCGAUGGGAAUGCGUAUCAAUCUAUUAUAAAAUGUUAAAUUAUUAUAAAUUUAAUGUUUAACCGUUUUUAACAGAGGCGUCUGCUAUUAUGGGAAGAUCCAUAGCCCAUAAUACAGCGCCUAACUCCAUUUUUCUC
rnacentral:lncRNA from 1 species